rnacentral:rRNA from 1 species
GACGAACGCUGGCGGCGUGCUUAACACAUGCAAGUCGAACGGAAAGGCCCUGCUUUUGUGGGGUGCUCGAGUGGCGAACGGGUGAGUAACACGUGAGUAACCUGCCCUUGACUUUGGGAUAACUUCAGGAAACUGGGGCUAAUACCGGAUAGGAGCUCCUGCUGCAUGGUGGGGGUUGGAAAGUUUCGGCGGUUGGGGAUGGACUCGCGGCUUAUCAGCUUGUUGGUGGGGUAGUGGCUUACCAAGGCUUUGACGGGUAGCCGGCCUGAGAGGGUGAACGGCGACAUUGGGACUGAGAUACGGACCAGACUCCUACGGGAGGCAGCAGUGGGGAAUAUUGCACAAUGGGCGGAAGCCUGAUGCAGCAACGCCGCGGGCGGGAUGACGGCCUUCGGGUUGUAAACCGCUUUCGCCUGUGACGAAGCGUGAGUGACGGUAAUGGGUAAAGAAGCACCGGCUAACUACGUG